rnacentral:lncRNA from 1 species
CAAAUCAAAUCAAAUCAAAUAUGUUUUAUUGCUAAUCAAAGCGCCCACAAGGAGCAGAACAAUCAACAUUAAUUAGAUACAAAUGAUUACAAGUGAUUCAAUAUGAUUAAGACACAAUGUUAUAAAAAAAUAUUUAUUAAGACAAGUAGAAGAAUACAACAAGCACAGUGUUUAAUAAUAUAACUAGGUUAAGAAAAGGGGGUCACUGGGCAUUACUAUAUCAAUAUAUAAUUUAAGGAAACUUUCCUUUAUGAGGA